CAGUCGCACGAGAGUGGAGCAAUCCAUGAAAGUGGCGCACGGGUGCGUAACACGUAGAUAAUCUGCCCUUAGGAGGGGGAUAACGUUCCGAAAGGAGCGCUAAUACCGCAUACAGCAGUUUCCGGUUCGCCGGAGAUUGGCAAAGGCUGGGCUCAGCAAUGACCAGCCGCCUGAGGAGGAGUCUGCGGCCCAUCAGCUAGUUGGUAAGGUAACGGCUUACCAAGGCAAAGACGGGUAGCUGGUCUGAGAGGAUGAUCAGCCACACUGGUACUGGAACACGGACCAGACUCCUACGGGAGGCAGCAGUGGGGAAUCUUGGUCAAUGGGCGCAAGCCUGAACCAGCGAUGCCGCGUGAGUGAUGAAGGCCUUCGGGUUGUAAAGCUCUGUGGGGAGGGACGAAAUCAUCGGUUCUAACAGGACCGAAUUUGACGGUACCUCCUUAGCAAGCACCGGCUAACUCUGUGCCAGCAGCCGCG
rnacentral:rRNA from 1 species